rfam:Smittium culicis strain GSMNP scaffold-9575, whole genome shotgun sequence.
ACUUGUUUAGCUUAAUUGGAUAAAGCAACGAUCUUCUAAAUUGUAGAUAAUGGUUCAAUUCCAUUAACGAGUA